UGAACAUGUGUGUCUCAGCCUCAUUCUGUCUGUCUUUAAGAGUAGCAUCACCCCUGAACAGGUUAAAUAAAACAGAAUGAGUUUCUGGUGUUUGGAACCCAAGUGGCCUAACUGCUACAGUUGCUGGAACAGAAG
rnacentral:lncRNA from 1 species